AUGGAGGGCCGCUCAAGGGUGGGCCACAGUGACAGCAUAAUGGGGCGGGGUGGCGUGGAGCUGGAUGCCCUCAGCUGCCCUCGCCACACUUCUGUAAAGUCCACUCGCAGCUUUUCUCCUCUGCACCCAGCCCCACCCACCACUUCCUCCCUGAGCUCACAAGCUACUUCCCUCUGCAAGCACUGGGUAACUGUCACCCCCACAGCAGGAAUUGCAGGUCCUGGAGAGACAAGCUCACGAGGUCAGGUGGGGAUGGAGUUAAGUUGGGGGUGGGGGGGGACGGGGGUGGGCUUGGAACACAGGUGUGUGCAGUGUGCUGUAGUGGAAGUUUUGUAUUAUAGUUAUCCUGUUUCCAUUUUGGUAUACCCUAGCCAGAAUUGAAUGUAUUAGAUAAAAUGUGAUAAUCUUGUUCAAUCUGAAAACCCCUUUGCCUCCGUUUUUUUUACUUAAACAUUUUUAUGAUUUAGAUGGAAGUUGGUUUUUGUCAGUUAAUGUUGGUUCCAGUCCCUCAAACUGUUCAUACCUGCUUUAUAACAUCCACUGUACUAAUCCUUCUUCAAGUUGGGGUGGGGAGUGGAGGCACAGUUUAGUUACGUCCUCAAGAUAAAGUCUUGGUGAAAAACAAAUUAAUGUUCUUUAGUUAUAAAAAAAUAAAAAAUAAAACAAUAUGCCCUGAUUCA
rnacentral:lncRNA from 1 species